UGAUGAACAUGGCCUCGACAAUCU
rnacentral:piRNA from 1 species